GUAGGGAAUCUUCCACAAUGGGCGAAAGCCUGAUGGAGCAACGCCGCGUGAAGGAUGAAGGUCUUCGGAUUGUAAACUUCUUUUAUGAGUGAAGAAUAUGACGGUAACUCAUGAAUAAGCACCGGCUAACUACGUGCCAGCAGCCGCGGUCAUACGUAGGGUGCAAGCAUUAUCCGGAGUGACUGGGCGUAAAGAGUUGCGUAGGCGGUUAUGUAAGCGAAUAGUGAAACCUGGUGGCUCAACCACACAGACUAUUAUUCGAACUGCAUAACUCGAGAAUGGUAGAGGUAACUGGAAUUUCUUGUGUAGGAGUGAAAUCCGUAGAUAUAAGAAGGAACACCAAUGGCGUAGGCAGGUUACUGGGCCAUUUCUGACGCUAAGGCACGAAAGCGUGGGGAGCGAACCGGAUUAGAAACCCGAGUAGUCC
rnacentral:rRNA from 1 species